rnacentral:rRNA from 1 species
UACGGAGGGUGCGAGCGUUAUCCGGAUUCACUGGGUUUAAAGGGUGCGUAGGCGGUCUGAUAAGUCAGUGGUGAAAGCUCUCGGCUUAACCGGGAAACUGCCAUUGAAACUAUCGGACUUGAGUACAAUUGGAGUGGGCGGAAUACAUCAUGUAGCGGUGAAAUGCUUAGAUAUGAUGUAGAACACCAAUCGCGAAGGCAGCUCACUAAAUUGUAACUGACGCUGAGGCACGAAAGCGUGGGUAGCGAACAGG